GAUGGCGCAUUGUGAGCAGUAGUGAGGUGUCCGUGUGCCGUUCAAUUGUAAAUUACAUUCCGUAAAUGAGAUGGGGUGAAAAUGUGAAGUUCCGGGAAACGCAGUGAAAGUCGUUUGGUGUAUAUAUUUUUGUUUAAUUUAUUCCAGUACUCAUUAUUGUGAAGCAUCAUGGCAACUGAUAAAAUUAAAGUUGCGGUGAGGGUUCGCCCUUUCAACAGGCGAGAACUGGAGUUGGGAACCCAGUGCGUCGUUCGGAUGGAGGGUCAGCAGACCAUACUUCAUCACACUGAAAGGCAAGGACAUAGCUCUACGCGCGGUGGAAUUGUGGAAGAUGGUGCCGUCCUGUCAACAACUGUGUGUUUGGAUAAUGAUAUAGCCUAGACAGUCAUGAAGGAAGCACACUUAGUGACGUGUUAUAAGGAACCGCCCAGUAUUCGCUUUGGAGCCACACAAGAUAAAUCCUGGUAUCUUGAGGCAGAAAUCGAAUCAGUGACUAUUAUUUACACGCUCUGAACAGAUAAUAUUUAAAUUUGUGUUUCUAAAUGUAUACGAGAAGUUUGACUCUUCAAGAUGUGUACAAUUUCACUGAACUUCAUACUUAUGUAAUGUAUACUUUUCCUCUCGUUUUCGUGUCGCCGAAAUCAUGUGCCUCGCGAUAGCAUGAAUAAUAAUGAAAGAGAAA